AGAGUUUGAUCCUGGCUCAGGACGAACGCUGGCGGCGUGCCUAAUACAUGCAAGUCGAGCGGACAGAUGGGAGCUUGCUCCCUGAUGUUAGCGGCGGACGGGUGAGUAACACGUGGGUAACCUGCCUGUAAGACUGGGAUAACUCCGGGAAACCGGGGCUAAUACCGGAUGGUUGUUUGAACCGCAUGGUUCAAACAUAAAAGGUGGCUUCGGCUACCACUUACAGAUGGACCCGCGGCGCAUUAGCUAGUUGGUGAGGUAACGGCUCACCAAGGCGACGAUGCGUAGCCGACCUGAGAGGGUGAUCGGCCACACUGGGACUGAGACACGGCCCAGACUCCUAUGGGAGGCAGCAGUAGGGAAUCUUCCGCAAUGGACGAAAGUCUGACGGAGCAACGCCGCGUGAGUGAUGAAGGUUUUCGGAUCGUAAAGCUCUGUUGUUAGGGAAGAACAAGUGCCGUUCGAAUAGGGCGGUACCUUGACGGUACCUAACCAGAAAGCCACGGCUAACUACGUGCCAGCAGCCGCGGUAAUACGUAGGUGGCAAGCGUUGUCCGGAAUUAUUGGGCGUAAAGGGCUCGCAGGCGGUUUCUUAAGUCUGAUGUGAAAGCCCCCGGCUCAACCGGGGAGGGUCAUUGGAAACUGGGGAACUUGAGUGCAGAAGAGGAGGGUGGAAUUCCACGUGUAGCGGUGAAAUGCGUAGAGAUGUGGAGGAACACCAGUGGCGAAGGCGACUCUCUGGUCUGUAACUGACGCUGAGGAGCGAAAGCGUGGGGAGCGAACAGGAUUAGAUACCCUGGUAGUCCACGCCGUAAACGAUGAGUGCUAAGUGUUAGGGGGUUUCCGCCCCUUAGUGCUGCAGCUAACGCAUUAAGCACUCCGCCUGGGGAGUACGGUCGCAAGACUGAAACUCAAAGGAAUUGACGGGGGCCCGCACAAGCGGUGGAGCAUGUGGUUUAGUUCGAAGCAACGCGAAGAACCUUACCAGGUCUUGACAUCCUCUGACAAUCCUAGAGAUAGGACGUCCCCUUCGGGGGCAGAGUGACAGGUGGUGCAUGGUUGUCGUCAGCUCGUGUCGUGAGAUGUAGGGUUAAGUCCCGCAACGAGCGCAACCCUUGAUCUUAGUUGCCAGCAUUCAGUUGGGCACUCUAAGGUGACUGCCGGUGACAAACCGGAGGAAGGUGGGGAUGACGUCAAAUCAUCAUGCCCCUUAUGACCUGGGCUACACACGUGCUACAAUGGACAGAACAAAGGGCAGCGAAACCGCGAGGUUAAGCCAAUCCCACAAAUCUGUUCUCAGUUCGGAUCGCAGUCUGCAACUCGACUGCAUGAAGCUGGAAUCGCUAGUAAUCGCGGAUCAGCAUGCCGCGGUGAAUACGUUCCCGGGCCUUGUACACACCGCCCGUCACACCACGAGAGUUUGUAACACCCGAAGUCGGUGAGGUAACCUUUUAGGAGCCAGCCGCCGAAGGUGGGACAGAUGAUUGGGGUGAAGUCGGAACAAGGUAGCCGUAUCGGAAGGUGCGGCUG
rnacentral:rRNA from 1 species